GGACAGAAAAUUAUUUUCACAUAAUGGUAGCAAUAACGAGGCAGGCUCCACUUCUCAGAGUGAACACUUGUACAAUGAAUCUUCUUUCAGUUAUUCUGUUCUGUGUCUCAACCGCUGCUGUCUUUGGGAAUGUCAUUAAACCAAACAAAACAGAUGUUUUUGCUGAGGAAGGUUCAAGCGUUACAUUGUCUUGUAAUUAUUCUGCAUCUGGAGCUACAGAUUAUCUCUACUGGUACCGUCAGUAUGGAAGAUCAAAACCUGAAUUUCUUGUACUUACCUACAGUAGUGCAAAAGGAGCUAAAGAGUCUGAUGUAGAUCCAAGAUUCACUGUUAACAAUACAAAAAAAGAUCAUGUGGAUCUGAAGAUCUCCUCUGCUGCUGUAUCAGACUCUGCUCUGUACUACUGUGCUCUGCAGCCCACAGUGUCAGGAAACACAUCAGCUCUCUACAAAAACCUGUUACAAUGA